rnacentral:rRNA from 1 species
AGGAUAAACGCUGGCGGCGUGCAUGAGACAUGCAAGUCGAACGGACUUCCCGGGCUUGCUCGAGAAGUUAGUGGCGGACGGCUGAGUAACGCGUAGGUGACCUACCCCGAAGUGGGGAAUAACUGCCCGAAAGGGUGGCUAAUACCGCAUGUGAUCGUUCAUUCAGUUGUUCGAUCAAAGCAGCAAUGCGCUUCGGGGAGGGGCCUGCGUCCGAUUAGCUCGUUGGUGGGUAUGGCUCACCAAGGCGACGAUCGGUAGGUGGUCUGGAGAGGACGAUCACCCAGACUGGGACUGAGACACGGCCCAGACUCCUACGGGAGCAGCGAGUCGGGAAUUUUGCUCAAGUGGGCGACAAGCCUGAAGCGAGCCAACGGCCGCGG